UCGGAUCGUGUUCAUAAUCAAAUAUCUCUGCUUUCAAAUUGUGACGCGCAAAAACAAACGAAGCUGUAAUACGUAACAACGGCGUGGCAAAGUGGCUUAAGUUGUUUUGUUUUGCCAAGAUAAUCCCCGCGCACAAGUCCAGAUGCGGUGGUGUUUCAUACCAAAUUAGAAGCUAAAUAAAAAUUAUAAUAUAGUAUUGGGUUAACGCGAGUUCUACACAUAUAAAUAAAACGUCAAGGUACCAUGGCUAUGAUGUUAACGCUCAUAUUAACACGAAGCAUAUAGUUGAUCCAACAGGCAAAAAACAACAUGAGAGCCACGAUAAACCGCGCUGGGAUUGCAUCUGAAAAAAACCAUUUAUAUUAAAUCGAGGAAAUAUAAGGACUGGGCACGUACGGGCGGGGUAUUAUCAUCCAUAAAAAUGAAAUCUUUCUUAUGAAAUUAGCUUGUGGUUUUUGGCUACCAAUAAGACCACUCAGCACGGGGCACAUUACUCGGUGAAUCCAAACAAGACGUUGGAAUACGUCGUUUAGUUUGGAAGCUGGAAUUCCUGAUUACUUGAGAAUGUCUGGAAUGUUCUAAAGAGAGGAGUAAGAUCAGUGCAACCUGCUGCACAAAAUAUCAGGAGCUAAAAAACGUUGCAGGAAAGUGGGAACGUAUUCCUCAAAAUGUUAUUCGUUAUAUAAUUACAACGUAAGUAACAUCGUGGAAAUUAUGCCCAGAAGUAUUUUAACUGUGGUUAUGGCCAGGGCCGUCUUAAACUAGGCUGGGGCCAUUGGGCACACAAGAAUUUGGGGCCCUUUUGGAAAGUACAAAAAAGCUAAUUAUAA